rnacentral:rRNA from 1 species
GAAAACGCGGCAGAUUGGGUGUUAAAUAGCCUGGCAGACCUGCCGCAAGCGAUAAAAAAGCAGCAAAAACCGGCGCAAUGAUUAAAAGAUGAGCGGUUGAAAUAAAAAUGCAUUUUUCCGCUUGUCUUCCUGAGCCGACUCCCUAUAAUGCGCCUCCAUCGACACGGCGAAUGUGAAUCACUUCACACAAACAGCCGGUUCGGUUGAAGAGAAAAAAUCCUGAAAUUCAGGGUUGACUCUGAAAGAGGAAAGCGUAAUAUACGCCACCUCGCGACAGUGAGCUGAAAGCCGCGUCGCAACUGCUCUUUAACAAUUUAUCAGACAAUCUGUGUGGGCACUCGAAGAUACGGAUUCUUAACGUCGCAAGACGAAAAAUGAAUACCAAGUCUCAAGAGUGAACACGUAAUUCAUUACGAAGUUUAAUUCUUUGAGCAUCAAACUUUUAAAUUGAAGAGUUUGAUCAUGGCUCAGAUUGAACGCUGGCGGCAGGCCUAACACAUGCAAGUCGAACGGUAACAGGAAGAAGCUUGCUUCUUUGCUGACGAGUGGCGGACGGGUGAGUAAUGUCUGGGAAACUGCCUGAUGGAGGGGAUAACUACUGGAAACGGUAGCUAAUACCGCAUAACGUCGCAAGACCAAAGAGGGGGACCUUCGGGCCUCUUGCCAUCGGAUGUGCCCAGAUGGGAUUAGCUAGUAGGUGGGGUAACGGCUCACCUAGGCGACGAUCCCUAGCUGGUCUGAGAGGAUGACCAGCCACACUGGAACUGAGACACGGUCCAGACUCCUACGGGAGGCAGCAGUGGGGAAUAUUGCACAAUGGGCGCAAGCCUGAUGCAGCCAUGCCGCGUGUAUGAAGAAGGCCUUCGGGUUGUAAAGUACUUUCAGCGGGGAGGAAGGGAGUAAAGUUAAUACCUUUGCUCAUUGACGUUACCCGCAGAAGAAGCACCGGCUAACUCCGUGCCAGCAGCCGCGGUAAUACGGAGGGUGCAAGCGUUAAUCGGAAUUACUGGGCGUAAAGCGCACGCAGGCGGUUUGUUAAGUCAGAUGUGAAAUCCCCGGGCUCAACCUGGGAACUGCAUCUGAUACUGGCAAGCUUGAGUCUCGUAGAGGGGGGUAGAAUUCCAGGUGUAGCGGUGAAAUGCGUAGAGAUCUGGAGGAAUACCGGUGGCGAAGGCGGCCCCCUGGACGAAGACUGACGCUCAGGUGCGAAAGCGUGGGGAGCAAACAGGAUUAGAUACCCUGGUAGUCCACGCCGUAAACGAUGUCGACUUGGAGGUUGUGCCCUUGAGGCGUGGCUUCCGGAGCUAACGCGUUAAGUCGACCGCCUGGGGAGUACGGCCGCAAGGUUAAAACUCAAAUGAAUUGACGGGGGCCCGCACAAGCGGUGGAGCAUGUGGUUUAAUUCGAUGCAACGCGAAGAACCUUACCUGGUCUUGACAU